AUUGAACGCUGGCGGCAGGCCUAACACAUGCAAGUCGAGCGGCAGCGGGAAAGUAGCUUGCUACUUUUGCCGGCGAGCGGCGGACGGGUGAGUAAUGACUGGGAAAUUGCCCAGUCGAGGGGGAUAACAGUUGGAAACGACUGCUAAUACCGCCUACGCACUACGGGGGAAAGCAGGGGACCUUCGGGCCUUGCGCGAUGGUAUAUGCCCAGGUGGGAUUAGCUAGUUGGUGAGGUAAUGGCUCACCAAGGCGACGAUCCCUAGCUGGGCUGAGAGGAUGAUCAGCCACACUGGAACUGAGACACGGUCCAGACUCCUACGGGAGGCAGCAGUGGGGAAUAUUGCACAAUGGGGAAACCCUGAUGCAGCCAUGCCGCGUGUGUGAAGAAGGCCUUCGGGUUGUAAAGCACUUUCAGCGAGGAGGAAAGGUUGAUGCCUAAUACGUAUCAACUGUGACGUUACUCGCAGAAGAAGCACCGGCUAACUCCGUGCCAGCCGCCGCAGUAAGAC
rnacentral:rRNA from 1 species